rnacentral:rRNA from 1 species
UACGUAGGGGGCGAGCGUUGUCCGGAUUCAUUGGGCGUAAAGAGCUCGUAGGCGGCUUGGCAAGUCGGGUGUGAAAACUUCAGGCUCAACCUGGAGCGGCCACUCGAUACUGCCAUGGCUUGAGUCCGGUAGGGGACCACGGAAUUCCUGGUGUAGCGGUGAAAUGCGCAGAUAUCAGGAGGAACACCGGUGGCGAAGGCGGUGGUCUGGGCCGGAACUGACGCUGAGGAGCGAAAGCGUGGGGAGCGGACAGG